AUGAUGAUUCAGAUCUGUACUCUCCCAGAUACUCGUUUUCUGAAGACACAAAAUCUCCCCUUUCCGUGCCUCGCUCAAAAAGUGAGAUGAGCUACAUUGAUGGUGAGAAGGUAGUCAAGAGGUCGGCCACACUACCCCUCCCAGCCCGCUCUUCCUCACUGAAGACAAGCCCAGAAAGAAAUGACUGGGAACCCCCAGAUAAGAAAGUAGAUACAAGAAAAUAUCGUGCAGAGCCCAAAAGCAUUUACGAAUAUCAGCCGGGCAAGUCUUCCGUUCUGACCAACGAAAAGAUGGUAAUGUGCAUAUUAAAGUUUUUUUGUCUCACCCUGCCCAUGUUCUUUAAUCAGAAUACAUCGUGCAGUUGGAUUACAUUCUUUCCCCUUGAGAUAGACUUGCUUUGUUUUGAAGAUAAUGACAAAAAUGAAGUACUUUUACCCUUUUCAUUUUUGCAGGUGUUCAUAAAAUAAGUCCCACGAGUCUGCUUUUAAAAAAUCCUUUUUUUGUGGCUCUGUUGCUUUUUUUGUGCAUGGUUUUAACUAAUAUUAAUUUUUCUACUAACAUAAA
rnacentral:sRNA from 1 species